UGGUGCCUGAAGAGAGGUUUUCUGGGCUUCUGUUUCUUUUAAGUGCACAUGAAACACACCUGGCUAACCUCUUUUCCAGCACUAAAUGC
ensembl:miRNA